AUACGGAGGGUGCAAGCGUUGCUCGGAAUCACUGGGCGUAAAGCGGGUGUAGGCGGUCUAGCAAGUCAGAUGUGAAAGCCCACGGCUCAACCGUGGAAGUGCAUCUGAAACUGCUAGACUUGAGUGCCGGAGAGGGAAGUGGAAUUCCUGGUGUAGGGGUGAAAUCCGUAGAUAUCAGGAGGAACACCGGUGGCGAAGGCGACUUCCUGGACGGCCACUGACGCUGAGACUCGAAAGCGUGGGGAGCAAACAGGAUUAGAAACCCUAGUAGUCC
rnacentral:rRNA from 1 species